rnacentral:rRNA from 1 species
CAGUCGCCGCGGUAAUACGAAGGGUGCAAGCGUUACUCGGAAUUACUGGGCGUAAAGCGUGCGUAGGUGGUGGUUUAAGUCCGUUGUGAAAGCCCUGGGCUCAACCUGGGAAUUGCAGUGGAUACUGGGUCACUAGAGUGUGGUAGAGGAUAGUGGAAUUUCCGGUGUAGCAGUGAAAUGCGUAGAGAUCGGGAGGAACAUCAGUGGCGAAGGCGGCCAUCUGGGACAACACUGACGCUGAGGCACGAAAGCGUGGGGAGCAAACAGGAUUAGAUACCCCAGUAGUCCCUGUCUCUUAUAC